GUGAGCAUACUGAGUCUGAUUACCUCUUCCUUGUCCCCUUUUCUUCUUUCCAUCAUCUCUCAGGGCUACAAGAGAUGGAUUUUUCUCCUUCUUGUAUAUCAGGAGCUUUCCUUAUGUACUAUAUCCUCUUCAUUCUUGUGAUGGCAUAUGCUCUGCUCCCUGUUGUGGAGCCAUGAUGGUGAAUGGAGUGCAAGAGAGAAACUAGUUUAACAAUAAUGGAAUAUCUAUUGGGAAAUAUUGAAAAAUAUUAUCAUAUCUCCAUAUCACUGGCUCCUACAUAUUUUUAGUUUAUGUUUUGAGAUUAAAUGUUAGAGACUUCUUUGUGCAAAGGUGUUCAAACCCAUCUUAAAAUUGUGGAGCUUGGGAUUUGUUAGAAUCAGCCUUAGAGAUCAUUUAAUUCUCAUUUCUAUACUUGACUGGGAAACUAAAGUUCAAAGAGGUGAGGUGACAAAACCACGUCCCCUAACUACUUAGUAGCAAAGUUACUGCCUGCCAGUCCAGUGCCCCUUCCAUUCACAGGUAUUACAGACUCUUAAUUCUCCCGGUGAAAACCCAAAAUAUUACAUCUGGUUUUAUGCAUUGCCAGGUCCACCUGUGUUAGCAAAUAAUCCCGUCAAUUAGCUGUCAUAGAAAUUAUGUGUGAGAGAAAACAGGAGAAAAAUUUAAAGGGGAUUGUUAUUUUGGGGUAGGGGUCUCCCAGAAUACUUUCAGUAUACGCUUCACAUAAUUCCAGAGGACUAAAUUCCCUCAGGGUUUGCUCUUUCUUCAAGAACAUUUGUGUUUGUUUUUUUCUCAACUAAUUACUGGUGCUUAACAGGUUAGUGUACUUAAAAUUAUUUGUUUAUAAAGGCUAUCACAAUAGAAGUGUGGAAAAAAUAAGCCCUUUAAUCAUUUUAAUACCUGGCAGGUGAUAUUUACUGUGAUUUUUUAAAUGAUAAUUUUUACCAUUUCAAAGAUUCAGUUUCCCUUUUCUCUGUCAUUCCAUCAUCUAGUCCUAAGCCAUCAGCACUCAGUCAGUUACAUAAGGCACCUCAAAGCUGCUCACUCUUUUUAUGUCGUUUAGGAAAUUAGUUUGAUCUGAAUAUGGUUUUCCUGAAGGAAUAACCAGUUCUGUUUAAAAUAUCCUUGUUAGAGUAUGAAUGACUUAUCUCACUAAGCUGCAAAAAUUCAUUCUUUAGUACAUGCGCAGAUAAUAUUUUAUCAGUUAGGCCUUGAAAAUUAACUUGCAACUAAGGAUUUAAAUUUAAUGUAUAUGUGGGAAAACCUGGUAAGCACGCAAUCCAAUGAUACUCACAAUAGAGGUUAUCUUUAAAGAAUUAUGGAAACGAACUUUAAUACCUUUCCCUGUGGAAUAAUAGAGGAAUAGCAGUGUUAAAAGAAAUUAAUUAUGUUCAAGAUUUAGGAUGGGCUAUGAUAGACAGUUGUAACUCUUUAUUUUUGCUGUUUAAAAGCAGAAUUCAAUUUCCAAGCAUUGAGAGAAGACUAGGCCAAAAAAUAAAGGUGUAUUAUAUUAUGGAAGGACUGGUAGGUGACUGAAGUGUGGCCAAAAGUGAGAAUGGAAAACCAAGAGGGAGCUCAGCCACUUACUGGCUGUCUGACCUUCCACAAAUUACUUACCCUCUCUGUGCUUGAGUUUCUGCAUCUGUAAAAUGGGGGCGAUAAUAGAUCCUCAUUUCUCAGGAUUGUUGUGAGGAUUAAGCAAAUUAAUACCUUAAAUGCUUUAAACAGUGUUUGCUGCAUAUAGGGGCUCAGUAAAGUGUUAGCCAUUAUUUUUAUUGCUGCUGGUGUCGGUGUUAUUUCAUGCCUUACUUGAUGAUUUUCAAAAUUACACAGACUAUGUAUGUAGGGAAGCAGGUAUGGUUCUUGUUGUAAGGGAAUAUGCCUAGAAAAUAAAUGGUAUUAGAAAGGUACAGGGAACACGGCACCAGAGGAAGGAGUUGGGCACAACAACAAUAGGUAGAGAUCAGACAUAGGUUGAAACUGAUGGGGGAAGACCUCUUGUGCAGAAUUUCUCUACUUAAGUGAUAUUUGAACCGAAGAUCUUGUGGCAGAUGGAGAAUAUUCUGACAUAGUUUCACUAUGGGAGCCUCUCAAGAGAGAGUCUAAGGAGAAGGUCAGGAAACAAACACAUAGGCCUAGAAAGAAAAAAUAAGAAAGAAAGAAGACAGCAGUUGGAGGUUUAUCUGUGUUUGUGGAAGAAUUGGAUGCAUUUAAGUAGCAGGUUAAAAUUUAAAAACUCACUUGGGCCUCCUUGAAAGGAGUAGGAAUGAUAGAAAUGGAAGAGGAGCAGAGAAAUUAAGGGCAGAAAGUAAUACAGGAAGUAGCACAAGUUACUCAAGGACUGGAGAAUCUGAAAGCUAAAGGAAGUGGGACUUUAGUGGAGGACAUAUUAGACCCCUCUAUGGUCUUGAGAUUAUGGCCUUUGGAAGAAUCAACAGAAGGUUCAGAUUCAGGAAUCUGUUGAAAGUGAUAACCCAGCUAAGAUAGAUUUAAGAAAAGAGGAUCUUGGAAGCAAGGUUAAUAGACUUAAGGAGCUCUAGAGCAGGAAACAGUGGCAGCAGCUGUGUCAUAAAGUUUAAAAAGUCUUGGGAUCCUGUUGGAGAUGGACAAAUACCCAGGGAAGAUCAGCUGCAAGGCUCUCAGCAUGGACUGUAGGGUUGCCUGGUGUAAAUGUGGAAUGCUGUGUUCGCACACGGAAGAGGAACCUAUGUCACUCGACAGAGGCCAAGCUUAAUUUAACACUGGACUUCCAGGCCAGAAACACUCCAAAGGAAAAUGGAAAUAAAAGUGUUCAAAACGUGAGAAGGGUACCAAGAGAAAGAAGGAAGAUUUGGAUGUAAUCUAGGCAUUGGAGAUGCUACCACUGAAAACCUCCUUGUGUCUCUUUGUACCUAAUUGGGCCCUAUGCAUAUUCUUGAAUUAAUCUCUGGCAAGGGUGAGGGGAUUACUCUUAGAAUCCUCUGAAAAGGACUGAAAAGAUCAGAAAACUAGAGAGAAGAGUAAUUGGACUUUAAGGUCUUUGGAGUUCAAAAAGUUUACAGUAGGAAGAGGGACCCAUUUUGGACUUGAAUUUCUCUGAAACUCUUAGGAGGACCAGCUCAACUCUCAGGGGUCCCAGGGAUUUACGGUGAGGAGCGGUGGUAAUAACUGAGGGAGCUGCUAAUCUCUCGCAAUUGGACAAUCCUGGAUGAACAAAGUUCCCAACUCUGUGGGUCUGGCAGGCCAACUCUGUCCUGGCACCUGGUCAGUGUCCUACCUUUGAUGACUGGAUUCUGAUCACUUUAUGUUCCUUGCCUCGUUUCCUGUUUGCUGGACCUGCUCCUCCCAAGGUUCUAAUCUAUGUCGUGGACCUGGGCUGGUAAAUCACCAAUCAUAUUGUUAUAAUCCACAUAAUUUGUGUUCUGUUGACACUAAUGACAAGAUAUACAACGUUUCUUGAAUCAACGUACUUAUUAGUUUUUUAUCUUUUUAUUACGGAAAAUUUCAAACAUUUACAAACAUAGAGGAUAAAAAACUCCAUGUACCUAUCAUCCAGCUUCAACAAUUGUUAACCCUUGGUUGAGCUUGCUUCAUCUAUACUCCCCAACUCUCUAAACCCAAUUAUUUUGAUGCAAAUCCUAGAUAUCAUUCUAUCCGUGAAUAUAUCAAUAUGCAUCUCUAGAAAAAAGGAUUUCCUAAAAAAUUAACCUUAGUACUAUUGUCACAUGAAAAAAUAAUUCCUUAAUAUCAGAUGUUUUAAAAAUUUGUUUCAAUAAAAUUGGAAAAGUUUUAUUCAGCUGAGGCAGUAGCAACCAGAAUUGUUAGCAAAAUUUCUCAACAUUUAUAUUUGGAAAUGAACCAUGAAUUUUACAUAUUAAUUUCAAACAUUUUAAUGGGAUUGCAAUAAUGAUCAUUACCACAGAAAAUAAUACAAAAUUUUAAUUUUAUCGAAUAAAUUCUACAAUUUGCAUUGUGAUUGUUUCCCCACCAGCCUUUAAGCAAUAUCUAUAUCCAUACAGUGUUAAGUUCUU
rnacentral:lncRNA from 1 species